rnacentral:rRNA from 1 species
UACAGAGGGUGCGAGCGUUAAUCGGAAUUACUGGGCGUAAAGCGCGCGUAGGCGGCUUUGCAAGUCGGGUGUGAAAUCCCCAGGCUUAACCUGGGAACUGCAUUCGAGACUGCAUUGCUAGAGUAUGGGAGAGGGAAGUGGAAUUUCCGGUGUAGCGGUGAAAUGCGUAGAUAUCGGGAGGAAUACCAGUGGCGAAGGCGGCCUUCUGGACGGAUACUGACGCUGAGGCGACGGAAAGCCAGGGGAGCAAACGGG